CAGUCGCCACGGUAAUACGAGGGGAGCUAGCGCUGUUCGGAAUUACUGGGCGUAAAGCGCGCGUAGGCGGCUUUUUAAGUCAGAGGUGAAAGCCCGGGGCUCAACCCCGGAAUUGCCUUUGAAACUGGAAAGCUAGAAUCUUGGAGAGGUCAGUGGAAUUCCGAGUGUAGAGGUGAAAUUCGUAGAUAUUCGGAAGAACACCAGUGGCGAAGGCGACUGACUGGACAAGUAUUGACGCUGAGGUGCGAAAGCGUGGGGAGCAAACAGGAUUAGAUACCCGAGUAGUCCCUGUCUCUUAUAC
rnacentral:rRNA from 1 species